rnacentral:rRNA from 1 species
GACGAACGCUGGCGGCAGGCUUAACACAUGCAAGUCGAACGGCAACGCCCUGCGUUUGUGGGCUGAUCGAUUGGCGAUCGGGUACGUAACACGUGAAUAACCUGCCCUUCACUUUGGGAUGACUUCAGGUAACUGAAGCUAAUCCCGUAUAGCAGCUCCUCCUGCAUGGUGGGGGUUGGAAAGUUUCGGCGGGCGGGGAUGGAUUCGCGGCUUAUGAGCUAGUUGGUGGGGUAGUGGCUUACCAAGGCUUUGAACGAUAGCCGGCUUGAGAGGGGGACCGGCCACAUGGGGACUGAGAGACGGCGCAGACGCGUACGGUAGGCAGCAGUGGGGAAUAUUGUACAAUGGGACGAAGCCGGAUGCAGCAACGCUCGGGUCGGGAUGACGGCUUGUGGGGUGAAAACCGCAGUCGCUUGUGACGAAGCGGGAGUGACGGUAAUGGGUAAAGAAGCACCGGCUAACUACGUG